AUCAAUGUAUUUGAAGAAACUGAUAAAACAAACAUCAAAACAUUGAAAAGUAUUAAAAGUACAUCCAGAAUCCUUAAGGAGGAGGAGACGUUCAGUAUUGAGGAACUGUGGUUCAGUCAGACUCCUCCUCAGAGCCCCUCCCACUGCAGUCAUUUAUCUAUUCAGUGUUUUUUAUCAUUUAUCACAUUUAGUUUAGUGCACAUGUAUAAACCUUAAAGAAAGAUACACAGCUAACCUUAAACCAUUAUCAAAACCUGUUUAAACUGAGGAAUCAACAUGGACAGAUAUCUACUAGUGAUUGCCAUUACAGUUUCAGGUGCAUUUGCUGAUAGCAUUGGACCAAAUGACAAGGACACUAAUAUGAUCAUUAGAGAAGGAGAGUCUGUGACACUGAGAUGCUCAUAUGAUGCUAGCAGCAGUUAUGUCUAUCUUUACUGGUACAGACAGUAUCCAAACAGAGAACCAGAAUAUUUACUGUGGCAAGGUGCUCGAGCAUACAAUGGAGGAGAGCUGAUAAAACAGACCAGUCGGUUUCAGUCGACAACUUCAUCCCAAUCAUCCACUGAACUCAUUAUUGACAGUGUGACUCUGUCAGAUUCAGCUCUCUAUUAUUGUGCUCUAAGAGUAACAGCAGCAGCCCACUGUAAAAUAGGGCCAAUCCAUCGUAUGUUCCUCAUCAAGAUCAGUUCCUCUGAUGAUCAGGAUGUGUGUCUGACUCUUCUGUACUGUGAUCUGAAGCCGCUGUGA